AGUGACAAUGGGGACAGCCCGGGGACACGGGCACGCACAGGCGCUCCAGGGCUGGGGACAGGGACAGUGACACAGUGACAGUGACACAGUGACAGUGACAAUGCACGCACAGGCGCUGCAGGGCUGGGGACAGUGACAGGGACAGUGACAACCGGACAGUGACACAGU
rnacentral:lncRNA from 12 species